AGGAGAAGAAGAAGAAGAAGAAGAUGGAGGAACUCCAAGAUUCGUCGUUUCUUUUCGAAAUUUUUUGGGGAAUUUGAGUUUGAUUGCUUUCUUUUCUUUCUUUGGUUUAUCUUUCUCUCCUGUUUCAUCUUGAUCUUCAUCAUA
rnacentral:ribozyme from 13 species